GACUCUCCUGCCGCGGGGCUGGGCAUCGUCUCCCCCUCGGUGAAGGCACACACCGGGGGAAGCGCCAACCUCAUGAACUUCUACGCCACGAGCUACGCGGUGGCCUAUGGUAGGGGGUCCCAAAGCCCUCCCCAAAGGUGUGUGGGGGGCUCGUUCCCAUGACUAAGCCCCCUCUCCCCGCUGUCACCCAGGCCAGCCACGUUUCCGUCCCCGCCUUGGCCACCACACCGGCAGCGGCUACGUGUCCAACAACCACUCGGCCAUCUCCUGCCUGCUCUGCCCGCGCGGUGCAGCAGAGGGGUAGGUACCCCUGCUGCGAGUGAAAUGGGGGGGGGGGGCAAGUUUUGGGGCCACGCCGUCACAGCCACACUGGCCUCCCACCACAGCCACUGCCAGGACACCGCCACGUCCACCACCACUGAGCACUUCAAGCCCUUUUGGCUCCCUGACGGCCGGAUCCUGCUGCCCCGGCAUGUCCACCAGCCGGAGAGCGGGUACCUCCAAGAGUCCUCCCUUUCCUGCCCCCACACCGGGGGGGGUGAGUCCCCAGCACACGUGGCUCCUCCAGGGCCCCCCCAGAGCAUCCAGGGAGCACGGCACAGAGAGCCGCCGCGCCAGUCCUGCCCAGCCAGGUAUGGUUUUGGGGGUGUCGGUGGUGCUGGGGCCAGCUCUGUCCCCAGGAGGUUUUGGGGUGUCAGUGGUCCCAGGACUAGGUCCAACCCCAGGAGGUUUUGGGGGUGUUGGAGGCCCCCUGCCCUGCAUCACCUACACCUGCCCACCCCCAAACAUGGGGACAGGCAGGGGUCGUGACACCGGGUAAUGCCAUGGCUGGCUCCAGGGUCCGUGCGCAGGCUGGGCUGGGGACAGGGACAGUGGGGCUCCCUCCCUGCCCCAUCUGCUCCCCGCAGAUGUCUUGCAGAAGACGACCAUCGGUGCCAAGGAGCAGUCGGGCUUCACCAGGGCCACCCCGAGGAGCGACAGCAUCCUGCCAGUCCUGCCAGCCCAGCCCGUGAGACCCUGCCCCACCGGGUCCCUUGUCCCCCGCCAGCUCCUCAACCCCUUUGCACCCCAAGGGACAAUUUUGCUCUCCCGCAGCUCGGCGUUAGCAUCACCACAACGGAUUACCUGCCCUCUGUGCGCAGCCACGGCGGCGAGACACUCCUGGCACUGCCGGCGUGCUCCGAGAGAGGCAACGGGUUCAGCCGGGAGGUGCCAGGCUGCCUGGGCACGGCGGUGAGCAGGACCCCAUCCCACUGCCCGGCCCCAUGUGCCCUCCCUGUCCUCAUCCACUAUCCCCACGCAGGGCUUGCCCGUGGUGGGCCACCCCAUCCCACCCGUCUCCCGAGGGCUGCAGGCACCCCGAGUGACCCAGGCCAGCCCUCUGGGACAGCAGGGUGCCGGCAGGAAGGUGGGUGCAGGCAGGGCCUCGUCCCCAUCCCUGCAGGACCAUGCACCCAACCCACCUCCAUCCCCCCAGGAGCCGUUGGGGUUCACCAUUAACCACGGCCAGUAUGUGACCCCCCACCCGACCCCGUCCCCCACAGUGCCAGGUGAGUUUGGGGUGACCCUAGGGGGGUAAGGGGGGGGGGGCUCCAGCCUCACCAUCCUGUCCCUCCUGGAUUUUCCAGCCUGGUGUUGGCAGGGUCCGACCUGGAUGGUGAGACCCAUGGGGGGCAUCCAGCCCCAGCGCCCCAGCGGCUUCAGCACGAACAACCACCCCACCGGGCUGGGGGACAUCACUGGCCACCUCCCAGUGUGGCCCCCCCGGGAGUGCCAGCCUCAGCGGUAGCUCCCAGUUCUUUGGGCCCCCCCCAGUCCCUGGGAGCACAUGGAGAAAUAAAGACCCCACACAGUCUUCC
ensembl:lncRNA